rnacentral:tRNA from 1 species
GAGAGUAUAAUUUAAUGGUAAAAUAAUUGAUUCCAAAUCAGUUUUUAAAAGUUCAAAUCUUUUUGCUCUUG